ACGAACGCUGGCGGCGUGCUUAACACAUGCAAGUCGAACGGGCCCGCCCCUGUUUUUGGGGGUGGGUUGAGUGGCGAACGGGUGAGUAUCACGUGAGUAACCUGCCCCCUGCUCCUGGAUAACUGCUUGAAAGGGCGGCUAAUACGGGGUGUGCCGGCUGGUCCGCAUGGGCCUGGUCGGGAUAGUUUCAUCUUCGGGUGUUUCGGUGGGGGAUGGGCUCGCGGCCUAUCAGCUUGUUGGUGGGGUGAUGGCCCACCAAGGCGGUGACGGGUAGCCGGCCUGAGAGGGUGGGCGGCCACACUGGGACUGAGACACGGCCCAGACUCCUGCGGGAGGCAGCAGUGGGGGGUAUUGCGCAAUGGGCGGAAGCCUGAUGCAGCGACGUCGCGUGAGGGAUGGAGGCCUUCGGGUUGUGAACCUCUUUCUCCGGUGGUGAAGGCCCUGUCCGUUGCGGCGGGGUUGACGGUAGCCGGGUAUGAAGCGCCGGCUAACUACGUG
rnacentral:rRNA from 1 species